UCUACAGUACGACGAUCAGACACCUGGACCAGAGAGCACAGCACUGAGUGGGUGUAUCAUGUCUCCUACCAUGCACCAGCUGCUGGAAAAGUUGAACGGUGCAACGGACUGCUGAAAACCACCUUGAAGGCACUGGG